rnacentral:rRNA from 1 species
ACGGAAGGCAGCAGUGGGGAAUAUUGGGCAAUGGGGGAAACCCUGACCCAGCAACGCCGCGUGAAGGAAGAAGGCCUUCGGGUUGUAAACUUCUUUUACCAGGGACGAACACAAUGACGGUACCUGGAGAAAAAGCAACGGCUAACUACGUGCCAGCAGCCGCGGUAAUACGUAGGGGGCAAGCGUUAUCCGGAUUUACUGGGUGUAAAGGGAGUGUAGGUGGUCUGGCAAGUCAGAUGUGAAAGCCCGCGGCUCAACCGCGGGACUGCAUUUGAAACUGUCAGACUGGAGUGCAGGAGAGGAAAGUGGAAUUCCUAGUGUAGCGGUGAAAUGCGUAGAUAUUAGGAAGAACACCAGUGGCGAAGGCGGCUUUCUGGACUGUAACUGACACUGAGGCUCGAAAGCGUGGGGAGCAAACAGGAUUAGAUACCCUGGUA